UGUUCUCUUAGGUUGAGCUGCUUAGAGGUCAGAAAGCAGAUAAAGUGGAGGUCACUAUACAACCUGAAGAAUUGGAUGAUAUAGAGACCGUUUUGCCUGCAAAGUACGAAGAAGCAAGGGAGGAGGAGAAGAUGCGAAGUCAGAAGGAAGAUUUCAGUGACAUGGUCGCAGAGAACGAGAAGAAGA